CUGAAACAUAAGAGAGUCCCUCAUAAUCAUGGCCUCCGCUACGGACUCUAAGGUGAAUUCCAAGCUGCUUAGAGCAAAUAACAACAGCUUGGAUGUGAGAUUCUUGUAAAGGAGUGAAGAUAAACUCAGGUUUCGGUACUGAAGGCAAGGUGAACCUGAGGUUUUGAGCAGAAGAUUGUAAGACAGUAGUGAAAGAAGAGUUUUGUGGAGUAUACAAGACAGUGGAAAAAGGAAAGGAUGUAUCUGAAUAUUUUGAGAGACAUUUUAGAAA